GGUGAGCUCUAGAGUUUAUUUCUCUUGGAAGAACAGAGUCAGAACACAGGUAGAACUGUAAACAGGCAGCUACAAAGGAGCAGAAAGGAGGGUGUGGCCUGACAGAGGUGCCCAGGCAUGCACACAGUGCCACUUCAUGGCACCUUGUGCUUCCCCAUCGGGUGUAUGCCCACUGGCUGGGGCUGUGGGUGGAGCCUGGACUGUAGGCUGAGCAGGGGCUCUGGGCUGAGGCAGGGCUGGUAGCUGGGCUGUCGCUGUAGCUCUCCUCUGUCUGAGCUGCUCCCUCCUGGCCAUGGCCUGUAACAGCUCUCUUGCUAUAGCCCUUGACUGGGGGUGGACUGGACAGGGCAAGUUCUGAGGAACCAGCAGGUAAGCGAAGAAACUCAGGCAGUACCAGGUCUUCCUUCCUUAGCAGCCCACGCUGGUCAUCGGCUCUGUUGCUCUGAGCUUUGGAAAUGAGCUCAAAAAACUC
ensembl:antisense Gm43791 predicted gene 43791